GACGAACGCUGGCGGCGUGCCUAAUACAUGCAAGUAGAACGCUGAAGAGAGGAGCUUGCUCUUCUUGGAUGAGUGGCGAACGGGUGAGUAACGCGUAGGUAACCUGCCUUUUAGCGGGGGAUAACUAUUGGAAACGAUAGCUAAUACCGCAUAACAAUGUAUGACACAUGUCAUUUAUGUGAAAGGGGCAAUUGCUCCACUACAAGAUGGACCUGCGUUGUCUUAGCUAGUAGGGGAGGUAAUGGCUCACCUAGGCGACGAUACAUAGCCGGCCUGGGAGGGUGGACGGCCCAAACGGGAACGGGAACAGGCCCAGGACCCCUAGGGGAGGCGCCGUAGGGGAACUUCGGGAAUUGGGGGAACCCUGGACGAGCAACGCCGGGUGGGUGAAGAAGGGUCUCGGAUCGUAAAGCUCCGGUGAAAGGCGAAAAAGAGUGUGGGAAUGAAAAAUGCACGUUGUGACGGUAGCUUACCAGAAAGCGACGGCUAACUACGUG
rnacentral:rRNA from 1 species